AAUGGGCGAAAGCCUGAUCCAGCCAUGCCGCGUGUGUGAAGAAGGUCUUCGGAUUGUAAAGCACUUUAAGUUGGGAGGAAGGGCAGUAAAUUAAUACUUUGCUGUUUUGACGUUACCGACAGAAUAAGCACCGGCUAACUCUGU
rnacentral:rRNA from 1 species